rnacentral:RNase_P_RNA from 1 species
UAAGUAAGAUAAGUGAUCGCAGCUACAAGUGUCGAAAGACCGUAGGUGAGGAAAGUCCGGGCUUCAUAGGGCAGGAUGCCGGAUAACGUCCGGUGGAGGUGACUCCAAGGCCAGUGCAACAGAAAUAUACCGCCAGUAUUUUACUGGUAAGGGUGGAAGGGUAGAGUAAGAGCCUACCGCCUUCUUGGUAACAAGGAGGGCACAUGUAAACCCCAUUCGAAGCAAAACCGAAUAAAAGCGAUAACGUGGCCCGCUAGCUUUAGGUAGGUUGCUUGAGGUGAUUGGUGACAAUCAUCCUAGAUAGAUGAUCACUCACGACAUAACCCGGCUUAUCGUCUUGCUUAUUUU